rnacentral:rRNA from 1 species
GAGUUUGAUCCUGGCUCAGGAUGAACGCUAGCGACAGGCUUAACACAUGCAAGUCGAGGGGCAGCGGGGGUGAUGGCUUGCCAUCACCUGCCGGCGACCGGCGCACGGGUGAGUAACACGUAUGCAACCUGCCCGCCACAGGGGGAUAAGCGGAAGAAAUUCCGUCUAAUACCGCGUGACGCGGCGCCGGGGCAUCCCGGUGCCGCCAAAGGGAUUACCGGUGGCGGAUGGGCAUGCGGCGCAUUAGCUAGUCGGCGGGGUAACGGCCCACCGAGGCGACGAUGCGUAGGGGUUCUGAGAGGAAGGUCCCCCACACUGGUACUGAGACACGGACCAGACUCCUACGGGAGGCAGCAGUGAGGAAUAUUGGUCAAUGGGCGCGAGCCUGAACCAGCCAAGUCGCGUGAGGGAUGACGGUCCUACGGAUUGUAAACCUCUUUUGCCGGGGAGCAAGCGUGCGUUCGUGAACGCGCGUCGAGAGUACCCGGAGAAAAAGCAUCGGCUAACUCCGUGCCAGCAGCCGCGGUAAUACGGAGGAUGCGAGCGUUAUCCGGAUUUAUUGGGUUUAAAGGGUGCGUAGGCGGGAUGCCAAGUCAGCGGUAAAAAUGCGGUGCUCAACGCCGUCGAGCCGUUGAAACUGGCGUUCUUGAGUGGGCGAGAAGUAUGCGGAAUGCGUGGUGUAGCGGUGAAAUGCAUAGAUAUCACGCAGAACUCCGAUUGCGAAGGCAGCAUACCGGCGCCCUACUGACGCUGAGGCACGAAAGCGUGGGUAUCGAACAGGAUUAGAUACCCUGGUAGUCCACGCAGUAAACGAUGAAUGCUAACUGUCCGGUGCGAGUGAGCGCUGGGCGGUACAGCGAAAGCGUUAAGCAUUCCACCUGGGGAGUACGCCGGCAACGGUGAAACUCAAAGGAAUUGACGG